UACGAAGGGGGCUAGCGUUGCUCGGAAUCACUGGGCGUAAAGCGCACGUAGGCGGACUCUUAAGUCGGUGGUGAAAUCCUGGAGCUCAACUCCAGAACUGCCUUCGAUACUGAGAGUCUCGAGUCCGGGAGAGGUGAGUGGAACUCCGAGUGUAGAGGUGAAAUUCGUAGAUAUUCGGAAGAACACCAGUGGCGAAGGCGGCUCACUGGCCCGGUACUGACGCUGAUGUGCGAAAGCGUGGGGAGCGAACCGG
rnacentral:rRNA from 1 species